rnacentral:rRNA from 1 species
AAUAGAUACCCCGGUAGUCCACGCCGUAAACGAUGAGUGCUAAGUGUUAGAGGGUUUCCGCCCUUUAGUGCUGCAGCUAACGCAUUAAGCACUCCGCCUGGGGAGUACGGCCGCAAGGCUGAAACUCAAAGGAAUUGACGGGGGGCCCGCACAAGCGGUGGAGCAUGUGGUUUAAUUCGAAGCAACGCGAAGAACCUUACCAGGUCUUGACAUCCUCUGACACUCCUAGAGAUAGGACUUUCCCCUUCGGGGGACAGAGUGACAGGUGGUGCAUGGUUGUCGUCAGCUCGUGUCGUGAGAUGUUGGGUUAAGUCCCGCAACGAGCGCAACCCUUGAUCUUAGUUGCCAGCAUUCAGUUGGGCACUCUAAGGUGACUGCCGGUGACAAACCGGAGGAAGGUGGGGAUGACGUCAAAUCAUCAUGCCCCUUAUGACCUGGGCUACACACGUGCUACAAUGGAUGGUACAAAGGGCAGCGAAGCCGCGAGGUGGAGCCAAUCCCAUAAAACCCAUUCUCAGUUCGGAUUGCGA